GCUAUGUGUGACACUUACUGGCUACACCAGGUAAUAGCACUGUGUUAUAUGUAUGGAUGUGUGUAUAUAAUCAUAAUACUACUACCUGAAUACAUGGAGCAAGGGAAUGUGCAUUGAUCAAGCCCCUCUUUUUCAUAUUCCAGGUGCAACACUGCUAGGCCAUUAUAAUGGCAGGCUACAUGGUUUAAAACAUGAUGUGUUUCAUUGACACUGACAAACGAUUGCUCUCCGAGGCUGUAAUUUUAUUGUUACCUAUUAAAUGCUUUGCCUAUU